UUGGACAAUGGGGGCAACCCUGAUCCAGCCAUGCCGCGUGAGUGAAGAAGGCCCUCGGGUUGUAAAGCUCUUUUGUCCGGAAAGAAAAGCUUCGGGUUAAUACCCCGGUGUUCUGACGGUACCGGAAGAAUAAGCACCGGCUAACUUCGUGCCAGCAGCCGCGGUAAUACGAAGGGUGCAAGCGUUACUCGGAAUUACUGGGCGUAAAGCGUGCGUAGGUGGUUGUUUAAGGCUGAUGUGAAAGCCCUUGGCUCAACCUGGGAAUGGCAUUGGAAACUGGGCAGCUAGAGGCCGGUAGAGGGUAGUGGAAUGCCCGGUGUAGCAGUGAAAUGCGUAGAGAUCGGGAGGAACAUCUGUGGCGAAGGCGACUGCCUGGACCAGCACUGACACUGAGGCACGAAAGCGUGGGGAGCAAACA
rnacentral:rRNA from 1 species